rnacentral:rRNA from 1 species
UACGUAGGGGGCAAGCGUUGUCCGGAUUUAUUGGGCGUAAAGAGCGUGUAGGCGGCUUGGUAGGUCCGCUGUGAAAACUCGAGGCUCAACCUCGAGAUGUCGGCGGAAACCACUUGGCUAGAGUCCGGAAGAGGAGAGUGGAAUUCCUGGUGUAGCAGUGAAAUGCGCAGAUAUCAGGAAGAACACCUAUGGCGAAGGCAGCUCUCUGGGACGGUACUGACGCUGAGACGCGAAAGCGUGGGGAGCGAACAGG